UACGGGGGGGGCAAGCGUUGUUCGGAAUUACUGGGCGUAAAGGGCUCGUAGGCGGCCAACUAAGUCAGACGUGAAAUCCCCAGGCUUAACCUGGGAACUGCGUCUGAUACUGGAUGGCUUGAAUUCGGGAGAGGGAUGCAGAAUUCCAGGUGUAGCGGUGAAAUGCGCAGAUAUCUGGAGGAACACCGGUGGCGAAAGCGGCUCACUGGACCGUAACUGACGCUGAGGUGCGAAAGCUAGGGUAGCAAACGGG
rnacentral:rRNA from 1 species